ensembl:lncRNA
UGUCAGCAGGUCUGAAGAAGCACGGCAUGGGGAGACUAAUUACUCAGUAAAAUCUACACUUUCCACAUCAAAUACAGUUAAGCUGCGUUCCUGAUCAACAUUGCUUGAGGUGGACUGUAAAGAGUGGAUGGAGUUCGCUCUGGAUCACCUACCUGGCAGGAGUUCAUCUAAAUGCUAAGAUCUUGAACGUUUUGCAUCAUCAGUGUUUGCCAAUUCUGGUCCUGGUGGACCCCACCUGCCUGCCAUUUUUCAUUCCAGCCCCACACCCACACUCUUAAUUAAGCCAUAAAGAUGGCUUUGGUGUGAAUCCAUUCUGGGAAAGUCUUUUUUUUCUUUCUCUACAGAGAGAGAUGGAAGACCUGCCACUUCCACACAACUGGAUGUGCUACACCACACCUGAAGGACACAAGUACUACGUGAACAUCUUCACCAAUGAGACCACAUGGACACGACCUCCUGCCUCCGCCGGCUCUCUGGAGAGUGGGAAGAGUCGUGGGAGCCCAGAGCUCUCCAGCGGGUCAGGUGAGCUCCUUGGGUCACGUGGCCUGGCCUACGUGUGGUCAGAUGUUUCCAGCUGAGACCGCAUGGCCUUUAGUUUAGGUGGAUAGUAGCCUAGCGGGUAACACACUCGCCUAUGAACCAGAAGACCCAGAUUCAAACCCCGCUUACUACCAUCGUGUCCCUGACACUUAACCCUGAGUGUCUCCAGG